AGAGUUUGAUCCUGGCUCAGGACGAACGCUGGCGGCGUGCUUAACACAUGCAAGUCGAACGGAGCGCUCAUGAAAGAGUUUUCGGACAAUGGAUUGAGUUGCUUAGUGGCGGACUGGUGAGUAACGCGUGAGGAACCUGCCUUCCAGAGGGGGACAACAGUUGGAAACGACUGCUAAUACCGCAUGACGCAUGACUGUGGCAUCACAGACAUGUCAAAGAUUUAUCGCUGGAAGAUGGCCUCGCGUCUGAUUAGCUAGUUGGUGAGGUAACGGCCCACCAAGGCGACGAUCAGUAGCCGGACUGAGAGGUUGGCCGGCCACAUUGGGACUGAGAUACGGCCCAGACUCCUACGGGAGGCAGCAGUGGGGAAUAUUGGGCAAUGGACGCAAGUCUGACCCAGCAACGCCGCGUGAAGGAAGAAGGCUUUCGGGUUGUAAACUUCUUUUAAGGGGGAAGAGCAGAAGACGGUACCCCUUGAAUAAGCCACGGCUAACUACGUGCCAGCAGCCGCGGUAAUACGUAGGUGGCAAGCGUUGUCCGGAUUUACUGGGUGUAAAGGGCGUGCAGCCGGGAAGACAAGUCAGAUGUGAAAUCCCGCGGCUCAACCGCGGAACUGCAUUUGAAACUGUUUUUCUUGAGUAU
rnacentral:rRNA from 1 species